AUGCCGUAUUUCCACCUCAUAUGAUGAUUACGCCACAUCCUGUUUUAUUUCCUGCCUUAUCUCUUAACUUAUGUGCUGUUUGGGUUUGUGAGUCCUGUCAAAGACCAAAGCAACUAUAAAUGGCAGGGGAAUAACACACAAUUCAGCUAAUACAAGCUGGCGGGCUAUCCAUUUCAUCUAGGGGCUCAUCAUCAACAAGGUGAUCAGUAUCGUGUGAUUCAGAGCUGUCACCUCCAGUAACAUGAGCCGAGCCAGGCAGCAUCUGUAACCAGACAUGAAAAUUUUAAACAUUUUUAGUUCUGCACUUGUAUACAGUAAAACACCGCUCACCAUUAAACAUUAAAAUGUUUCCACAAUACAUCCAGCUGUUCAUUCCCGAUCAGACAAUUGCUUAUAAUUACCAAAUUAUGCAUCUUCUCU